UCCGACGUGGUGUAGUGGCUAACAUUAUCGCCUCUCAUACAUAGGUGAAGCAUGUGUAACUAAAGCGCGAUAGCCCGGGGUUCGAUUCCCCGCGUCGGAA